rnacentral:rRNA from 1 species
AGCGAACGCUGGCGGCAGGCUUAACACAUGCAAGUCGAACGGGCACCUUCGGGUGUCAGUGGCAGACGGGUGAGUAACACGUGGGAACGUACCCUUUGGUUCGGAACAACUCUGGGAAACUGGAGCUAAUACCGGAUACGCCCUGAUGGGGAAAGGUUUACUGCCGAAGGAUCGGCCCGCGUCUGAUUAGCUAGUUGGUGGGGUAACGGCCCACCAAGGCGACGAUCAGUAGCUGGUCUGAGAGGAUGAUCAGCCACACUGGGACUGAGACACGGCCCAGACUCCUACGGGAGGCAGCAGUGGGGAAUAUUGGACAAUGGGCGCAAGCCUGAUCCAGCCAUGCCGCGUGAGUGAUGAAGGCCUUAGGGUUGUAAAGCUCUUUUGUCCGGGACGAUAAUGACGGUACGGAAGAAUAAGCCCGCUAACUUCGUGCCAGCAGCCGCCGU